CGCGAUGAUGCUUUGCCAAAACCGACAAAAAGUUCGUUUUCGUCAAGGACGAGGUUUUGCAAUGUAUCACAGCUGG
rnacentral:pre_miRNA from 1 species